CGCAUAGAUUAGAUGUGUUAUAUCGAUAUCACAGAAUAAUUGUCUGUCAUGGUUCUCGUUAUCUCUGACCACUUAUUUGCCACUAAGAUGGUUCAGAAAUGUACUUUCCAAAAUUAUUGACUUACAUUGGUUUCCACGGGACGAUGAUAUAUAAAAAAAAAAACGGAAAUUUAAUGGAGGAUGACAGACUUCAGAAGAAAGCGUUCUAUCUUUUUAGUUUCUAACUAUCUUUCUUUUUACUUUGUGAUUGCGAAACGUGGGCGACUCUUAUCGCGGAAACAGAGGUGUAAAGUACUUUCUGCCUGAAAGUAAUAUUGAAGGAUUUAACGAAAUAAU